UACGUAGGUGGCAAGCGUUAUCCGGAAUCACUGGGCGUAAAGCGUGCGUAGGUGGAUUGUUAAGUGCGAUGCGAAAUCCUGUGGCUCAACCAUAUGGACUGUAUCGCAUACUGGCUAUCUAGAGGACAUGAGAGGCAAGUGGAAUUACUGGUGUAGCAGUGAAAUGCGUAGAGAUCAGUAGGAACACCAAUGGCGAAGGCAGCUUGCUGGCAUGUAUCUGACGCUAAGGCACGAAAGCGUGGGGAGCAAACAGG
rnacentral:rRNA from 1 species